GACAUAGGUCGCAAACGUUAUCCGGAAUUUAUUGGGCGUAAAGGAUGCGUAGAUGGUUCAGUAAGUUACUGGUGGGAAAUCGAGGCUCAACCUCGUGGAAGUCAGUAAUACUGCUGAACUUGAGUGCAGGAGAGGUAACGGAACUUUAUGUGGAGCGGUAAAAUGCGUAGAUAUAUGAAAGAACAUCAAUAUGGCGAAGGCAGUU
rnacentral:rRNA from 1 species